GCUAGAUUUUAGCUUUAUGUGUGCACAUUUGCUGUUGAGCUAUAACCCUGGCACCAUCAGUGCUGUUAAUCUCUUCUACACUGAACAAAAAUAAACACAGCACUUUUGUUUUUGCUCCCAUGUUUUAUGAGAUGAACUCAAAGAUAUUAAACUUUUUCCACAUACACAAUAUCACCAUUUAUCUCAAAUAUUGUUCACAAAUCUGUUUAAAUCUGUGAUAGUGAGCACUUCUCCUUUGCUGAGAUAAUCCAUCCCACCUCACAGGUGUGUCAUAUCAAGAUGCUGAUUAGACACCAUGAUUAGUGCACAGGUGUGCCUUAGACUGCCCACAAUAAAAGGCCACUCUGAAAGGUGCAGUUUUGUUUUACUGGGGGGGAGGGGGGCAUGAGCACGCAGAUGAGCUUCCCUGAGAUGAUUUCUGACAGUUUGCGCAGAAAUUCACCCUUUGUCAGCCCUCUGAUUGGUUCCUGGCUCGACCAAUCAGAAAAAUCCUUCGCCGUUGCCCAACUUCCGGUUGGACAUUUGGCCUCGGCUCUAUCACAACAUCACAACAACUGAACAAGAGUAGAUUUAAAAUGGUUAAACGGUGUGCAUGGGGGACUUGUAAAAGUGACUCUCGCUAUCCUGAGAGAAGCCCAGGAGUAUAUUUUAUCCCAUUCCCGAAACCGAAAGUACAUUACGAAAAAUGUUUACUUUGGAUACGUUUAUGCGGACGUCCGCACUGGCAGCUAAAUCCGUCCAAAAUAACGAAAUACACGUACAUCUGCUCUGAGGUAAGUUGGCACAUUAUUCUUUACAGUAGUAAUGUCACAAUUUAAGAGCUAAUGUUAGUGGUUGUACUUAGGUUUUAUAGGCAUUUAUUUCCUUCUGCUAGCCAAAAUUGGCAUUAUAGCUGUCGUAGCCACUAGCUGUCAUAGCAUGAUUGUGUUCGCAUGCCAAGAUGAUGCCAUUCUGUAACAUCUGUUUAUAUUUUUUAUGAAAGCACUUUGUUGAUGGGGCACCAAGUGAUCGAUACCCAAACCCCGUGGAUGCAACAGGAAAGUCUGUUAAGCCUUGCAGACUUAACCCCAAAAGACAAAGGCUGCAUCAGCAGAGUGAGAGCGGCAGUUUGGCAAGCCCAGGUCAUACCAUGGCUGAAGAUACAGCACAGACCAGUAACGUGGCAGAAGAAGACGCACAGCAAAGCAGCAUAGCAGAAGAGAAAGAAGAGAUUGGCAGCGGCGCAGAAGAGACAGAAGAGACGAAAGAGAUUGGCAGCAGGGCAGAAGAGAGAACAAACCCAGGAGAGACCUGUUACACUGCAGAAGACACAGCACAGCCCAACACAGUCGGACACAUGUCAGAAAACGCUCAGUAUCUGUCAUUUUUAUAUGUUUCCUGUGGAUGUAGGAUAUGAAAAAAGAAAAGUCAGUUCAGAAACAUUUUUAUGCAAUACAUUUGUAUUUACAUUUGUAUACUUGUUUAAUGCAAUUAAAGUAAUUGAUUCAUUUUA